GCGGAUGUGGUGGAAUUGGUAGACACGCAUGCCUUAGGAGCAUGUGCUUUCGAGCGUGAAGGUUCAAGUCCUUUCAUCCGCACCA
rnacentral:tRNA from 2 species